rnacentral:rRNA from 1 species
UACAUAGGGACCAAGCGUUGUUCGGAUUUACUGGGCGUAAAGGGCGCGUAGGCGGCGUGACAAGUCACUUGUGAAAUCUCCGGGCUUAACUCGGAACGGCCAAGUGAAACUGUCAUGCUAGAGUGCAGAAGGGGCAAUCGGAAUUCUUGGUGUAGCGGUGAAAUGCGUAGAUAUCAAGAGGAACACCUGAGGUGAAGACGGGUUGCUGGGCUGACACUGACGCUGAUGCGCGAAAGCCAGGGGAGCAAACGGG